rnacentral:lncRNA from 1 species
AGAUCAAUAGAUCUUGUCAGAAAUGUUCCCACCUACCAAGUGGCUCAUGGACAGCCUUUGUGAAUAUGACCAAAUACAGAGAGGAGCAAGUCUGAGAAGAAAGGUAAGAGAACAGUGGACUCUCUCUCUUCUUAGAGAGUACUUGGAUUAUGUCUCAGUUGUAGAAAAAAAUAUUAACAUAUUUUAUUUACAGGAAGCAGUCUCGUUUUUGUGGCUCCUUUAAAAGAUGAGAGCAUAAAUGUAAGUAAAGGACAAACUGGGUCCUCCCACCUUGCUUCAUGAUUUCAU